ACAUGCAAGUCGAACGAGAAAGUGGAGCAAUCCAUGAGUAAAGUGGCGACCGGGUGAGUAACACGUGACUAACCUACCUCCGAGUGGGGAAUAACUCCGGGAAACCGGGGCUAAUACCGCAUAACAUCGCAAGAUCAAAGCAGCAGUGCGCUUGGAGAGGGGGUCGCGGCUGAUUAGCUCGUUGGCGGGGUAACGGCCCACCAAGGCGAAGAUCGGUAUCCGGCCUGAGAGGGCGCACGGACACACUGGAACUGAAACACGGUCCAGACUCCUACGGGAGGCAGCAGUGGGGAAUUUUGCGCAAUGGGGGAAACCCUGACGCAGCAACGCCGCGUGGAGGAUGAAGCCCUUUGGGGCGUAAACUCCUUUCGACUCGGACGAUAAUGACGGUACGAGUGGAAGAAGCACCGGCUAACUCUGUGCCAGCAGCCGCGGUAAUACAGAGGGUGCGAGCGUUGUUCGGAAUUAUUGGGCGUAAAGGGCGCGUANGCGGUGCGGUAAGUCACCUGUGAAAUCUC
rnacentral:rRNA from 1 species